AUUUUACAGGUGAGGCACUAAGGCACAGAGAGUUAAGAACUGGCCCAGGGCCAUACAGCUAGUAAGUGGUAGAGCCAGGAUUCAAAGCCCAGCAGUCUGGCUUUAGAAUGAAAGCUCUUAAACGCCAUAUGAAAAUCUGUGGGUCUCUAGAAAAGACCCACAGCCCAGGACAAAGUUGUCAGCACAUAUAAACAAUAAAGGAAAAACAAAUGGGUCCGAAACUUAAAGGAGAGGAGAGAAAACUGCAGAAGGGUGGUGCAGACCUCCCCGUACCCCAGGCACCAGCGUUUUCAACGGCCUCACUGCCCCAGCUUGGGCAAGCCCAGCCCAUGCCACACCUCAUUGCACAAGGUGCAGACUCCUCCUUCAACACAAAAUGACCAAGCCACGCCUUCCAACACCUGCGUCUCUAGAGCCACCCGCUCCAGGAGGCACUGAGGGAAACGGAAACGGGCAGAAGGCCAUGCCUCCGCUUUCACGUGGAGACAGACACUGCCUCCCAGAUGCUGAAGAAGCCAAAGAAGAAUGGGAGCAGUAUUCCUUCUCCUAAGCCCACAGCCUCAAGCCCAUUGGUUCCUGAAUCUGUUGCUACUUGCAAGGCUAUUUACCAGUGACCCUCAGGGCGGCUCAGCCUUCACACUGCCCUACCCAACUCUCACUGAAAUCUUAGGUCCCCAAGGAAGAAGAGCACACCUCUAAGGGCUUGGAGGGGCUGAUUCUGGAUCUGAGGCAGUAAGGCCAUACUCCAUAGCCCUGGGAGCCAUUAAACCCCCAGGCUUCCUGGGACACUGACCCUGCAUUGCCUGUUUGGUCCCAGAAAAGUUCCUGACACAUUAUGGAAAUGUGGUGAAUAAAUGGUGACCGAAAGUCCCAGAAUUGA